UGAAUGUUAUCCCUCGGUCCAACCCACUUUCAGCCUGGCGCAUUAGGGGGCGCUAGUAUAAAUAGUGGCCAUUUGAGUGUCCCUGGAUCGCUUACCUGUGAUCUCCUUUUUGGUCACCUGACUUCCCUUUGGUGUUGCCGAGAUCAUUUGCGGGUUACUCUUCUGAAGCCUCCAUCGCGGCUGGUCGUAGCUGUAGAAGCCUCCUCUGAGCCAUUCUGCUCACGUUCUAUGACACGGCUUACUUGGAAGUGUGGGCCUGAGUUUUGCGCCAAGCUACGUGAACUGAAGUG